GGGGCCGCACAAGCGGUGGAGUAUGUGGUUUAAUUCGAUGCAACGCGAAAACCUUACCUGCCCUUGACAUCCUCGGAACUUGUCAGAGAUGACUUGGUGCCCUCGGGAACCGAGAGACAGGUGCUGCAUGGCUGUCGUCAGCUCGUGUCGUGAGAUGUUGGGUUAAGUCCCGUAACGAGCGCAACCCUUGUCCAUAGUUGCCAGCACGUAAAGGUGGGAACUCUAUGGAGACUGCCGGUGACAAACCGGAGGAAGGUGGGGAUGACGUCAAGUCCUCAUGGCCCUUAUAGGUGGGGCUACACACGUCAUACAAUGGCUGGUACAGAGGGUUGCCAACCCGCGAGGGGGAGCUAAUCCCAUAAAGCCAGUCGUAGUCCGGAUCGCAGUCUGCAACUCGACUGCGUGAAGUCGGAAUCGCUAGUAAUCGCGGAUCAGAAUGUCGCGGUGAAUACGUUCCCGGGUCUU
rnacentral:rRNA from 1 species